AGCUCAAGCCUUUCUAAAAGGGAUUUCUUUACCUGUUCAUUUACUACUAGGCACUAUCUUUGAAAAAUGCCGGAAAGAGGAGUCACAGUUUAGAUAACAGAAAAAAAAAGUUAUGGAGAAAAUUGACAGCAAUGUGAGUUUAAAUAGAACGUGGCAGCCGGGCCAGAGAAUGAAGCAGGAAUUAGCACCAUGGACAGAGACUAGCAGAUCCUGAACAGAGGAUGGCAAAGUCUGAUAGUGUUUUCGGCCCCUCCCUGGAGACGCGGAAACUGGAAUUCUUGGGAAGGAUUCAUUCCACAGACUUUAAGGACAAAGCUGUCCUACUCAGCGGACCCACGUUUGUUUUGACUUGGGCUGGCUUUUGCUAGGACCCGGCCAUCGUGACAAACCGCCAGGAGGGUAAGAGCCGGGAACUCGCUGCACACCCUCCACGGUCCCCUGGCCAUACACCCCCUUGCCCCGCUGAGCCUGCCGGUCAUCACAGUGGUCAGGCAAAAUAAACGCAAAUCCAGGUAGUCAGCCAAAAGUCUGCUGAAGUCCUCGAAAUUCCCAGCGAGCAUCGCAACAAAAAACGCCUACUCUCGCACCCUUGCUCCCCUCCCCCCACUCUUCUCCCGGCUCCCGCCGCCUCCCGGCCGAGGGGCCAAGCCUUUUAUCCGAAGUAACUUUUAGCCGGAUAAACUCGCGUCUUCCCAGAGCUUCAAAGGGCGGUGCAGGCGACCAGAUCAAACCCUUGCCCCACAGAGCAAGUGUCCGCACGGGGGCACGGGGACAAAGGCGGAGUCUGGAUCAGGAGAAGACUGAGGCCCGGGGAGACACCGCGGCGAGAGAAACAGCUGUCUUAUCAGCCCGCUGCAGAGAUGGAGAUGGCUGGAGAGGUCCUCAACAGAUAAUCACUUGAAUAGGAAGAAGAACAAGCAAAAAGAAUAUUUCAGAAUAGCUGCCAUUGCAGUACUAUUUAUUG